rnacentral:rRNA from 1 species
UACAUAGGCAGCAAGCGUUGUUCGGAAUUACUGGGCGUAAAGAGUGUGUAGGCGGUGCUCUAAGUUUGGUGUGAAAUCUCCCGGCUCAACUGGGAGGGUGCGCCGAAGACUGGAGUGCUCGAGGGAUGGAGAGGUAAGCGGAAUUCCUGGUGUAGCGGUGAAAUGCGUAGAUAUCAGGAGGAACACCUGUGGUGUAGACAGCUUACUGGACAUCUUCUGACGCUGAGACACGAAAGCGUGGGUAGCAAACAGG